AAUCCAUAGGUUAAUGAGGCGAACCGGGGGAACUGAAACAUCUAAGUACCCCGAGGAAAAGAAAUCAACCGAGAUUCCCCCAGUAGCGGCGAGCGAACGGGGAGGAGCCCAGAGCCUGAAUCAGCAUGUGUGUUAGUGGAAGCGUCUGGAAAGGCGCGCGAUACAGGGUGACAGCCCCGUACACAAAAGCGCAUGUGCUGUGAGCUCGAUGAGUAGGGCGGGACACGUGGUAUCCUGUCUGAAUAUGGGGGGACCAUCCUCCAAGGCUAAAUACUCCUGACUGACCGAUAGUGAACCAGUACCGUGAGGGAAAGGCGAAAAGAACCCCGGCGAGGGGAGUGAAAAAGAACCUGAAACCGUGUACGUACAAGCAGUGGGAGCCCCACCACCAAAGCAUUCUCUGGUGUUGAAGGCCCUGCAAAGCAGCAUCGCGGUGGCGGAGCGUCGUUUGCGACGCCCAACACACAAAACAAGCGGUGAGUGCUUUGGGGUGGGGUGACUGCGUACCUUUUGUAUAAUGGGUCAGCGACUUAUAUUCUGUAGCAAGGUUAACCGAAUAGGGGAGCCGGAGGGAAACCGAGUCUUAAUUGGGCGUUAAGUUGCAGGGUAUAGACCCGAAACCCGGUGAUCUAGCCAUGGGCAGGUUGAAGGUUGGGUAACACUAACUGGAGGACCGAACCGACUAAUGUUGAAAAAUUAGCGGAUGACCUGUGGCUGGGGGUGAAAGGCCAAUCAAACCGGGAGAUAGCUGGUUCUCCCCGAAAGCUAUUUAGGUAGCGCCUCGUGAAUUCAUCUCCGGGGGUAGAGCACUGUUUCGGCUAGGGGGCCAUCCCGGCUUACCAACCCGAUGCAAACUGCGAAUACCGGAGAAUGUUAUCACGGGAGACACACGGCGGGUGCUAACGUCCGUCGUGAAGAGGGAAACAACCCAGACCGCCAGCUAAGGUCCCAAAGUCAUGGUUAAGUGGGAAACGAUGUGGGAAGGCCCAGACAGCCAGGAUGUUGGCUUAGAAGCAGCCAUCAUUUAAAGAAAGCGUAAUAGCUCACUGGUCGAGUCGGCCUGCGCGGAAGAUGUAACGGGGCUAAACCAUGCACCGAAGCUGCGGCAGCGACACUCAGGUGUUGUUGGGUAGGGGAGCGUUCUGUAAGCCUGUGAAGGUGGCCUGUGAGGGUUGCUGGAGGUAUCAGAAGUGCGAAUGCUGACA
rnacentral:rRNA from 1 species